rnacentral:rRNA from 1 species
GAUGAACGCUAGCGGCAGGCUUAAUACAUGCAAGUCGAGGGACAGCACAGGUAGCGAUACUGGGUGGUAACCGGCAAACGGGUGCGGAACACGUACACAACCUUCCUUUAAGUGGGGGAUAGCCCAGAGAAAUUUGGAUUAAUACCCCGUAAUAUAGUUGAAUGGCAUCAUUUGAUUAUUAUAGCUACGGCGCUUAAUGAUGGGUGUGCGGCUGAUUAGAUAGUUGGCGGGGUAACGGCCCACCAAGUCUACGAUCAGUAGCUGAUGUGAGAGCAUGAUCAGCCACACGGGCACUGUGACACGGGCCCGACGCCUACGGGAGGCAGCAGUAAGGAAUAUUGGUCAAUGGACGCAAGUCUGAACCAGCCAUGCCGCGUGAAGGAUUAAGGUCCUCUGGAUUGUAAACUUCUUUUAUUUGGGACGAAAAAGGGCCUUUCUAGGUCAACUGACGGUACCAGAUGAAUAAGCACCGGCUAACUCCGUGCCAGCAGCCGCGGUAAAAC